rnacentral:lncRNA from 1 species
GGGCUGUCAAGCGUACUGGGGAGCCAUGAAUGUAUAUUUUCACAUUAGGGCUGCAGGUUCAGAAUCAAGGUCAAACUAAAUACGGGGGAAAGAAAAGGGCACCAGUUGUGGCAGCAGCUGAAUAUUGAAAUAAAAUAAAGCAGCUCCCCAAAUGUCUGAAAUAAAAUAAAGGUUAAUUGGUCCGAGCAGCAACCUGGACAUGAACCUGAAAUUUUUUCAUCUCUAAGGGUGGAACAGAGUGGGAAAAAAUCUCUAAAACACACGACCACACCCUAACCAAACGUGCCUCGUGCCAACAACAACUUCCUUUCUCAUGAAAGUGGUAAAGGGAAAGUAAAAAAAUGCCGCCUUCGUCCCCCAAGGCAGACAGGCACCUGUAAAGCUGGCACCGUGGCGCAGCCGGGCUCCUGCCCAGAUGGAGCCGCACCUUCCGACACCGGCCACACGCUGCCAGGUACCACGGACAGACCGAGAUACAAGGAGGUGGCGGGGACUCCACACCCGGACAACGGGCCACCAGCACUUCACACGGAAAACUGGCCAAGUGAGACAUCGCGUGUGGCCGACAGAAAAAGUUUGGUGUUCACACCAUAAUACCGUAGGCAUUUUUUAAUAUGAGAGCUGAUGAGCUGGAGUGAAGGAAGAGGAGAAGCAGGGAGGGAGAGAAGCAGCACUUCAUUAGUUAUGUGAGCAGUUGCAUGAGAGAGAGAGACAAUAAACCUGCCUGGUCGCCAUGGAUAUGACAUAUUUGCUCUGAAAACAACACAAUAAUUAGCAAAGGAGAGCGAUCCAGCGAGAAUAUGCAAACUGGGCUUUCCUGCCCCACUGAUCUCUCCUCGCCUUCUGUUCCUACAAAAUCCUUCAAGGCGCUGUUUCCAACAGAGUGCUUGCUGCUUGUUCUUAAUUUAUUUCCUUUUUGUCCUGUGGGUUGGAUGGCAGAGAAAAUGCCAGAACACAAAGCAGGCCAAGGUGAUUUUCACACGGAUCCUAAUGUUUUUCUCCAAUCAGGAAGCAAUUUUCGGGAACAGAGAUCAAACGGGGAGCUGACACUGAUGCCAUUAGAUCAUGCUGGAUGUACAUUUUGACACCCUGCAGCUCAUUUGCCUCAAGGGCUGUUUCACCUUGGGUUAAAGUACGAAACUUAAUUAUGCAGCCAUCGACCAGCAUCCUCCAGUCACCUUUACUUAUUUUGGUGAUAUUGGUAAAAAUUCCUGGCUAAAAGCAUUUCUAACACACCCAGGAAAAAUUAUUACAUUUGUUGCUGAUAGAAUUAAGGGAAGGAGGAAGUGUUAUUACAGGUGAUUUUGAAGGAGAGACUAUGAUCUGUACGCUUUUAAUUUGUGUUGAAAUCUGAACUCUUUAUGUAAAUGCAGUGGGGCAGCCUGGACAUCCAUGGCCAGGAACCUGGAACAGACGCCAUGCUGGUCACUACAUCACCGGCUUGCACCGGGGACAGCAGCAAGGGGCAGAACAGAAGCCCUGCAGAUGUUCUCCAUCACCCAGCCCACAGCAGCACCUGCCCCUGAAGACCUUGAGCUCCACCGCUCGUUUCCAAACCUGCAGCAGGCCCGUUCCCUCCCUGGGAUUUUCUGAUGAAUGUUUAAUCUGCCAAACAGUGAGGUCACUGCACGGUGACACAGCGCAAUUCUCGUGUGACUAAUAUUGCAUCUUGACAGGGUUUAUUUUGAAAGUUUCACUUCAACAUUAGUGAUAAAAACAACUCAGGAUGAUUGAUCAUUAGCUCCGCUGCCACCGCUGCCGCUGCUACUGCAAUCCCAAUAAGUGCCUAAAAUAAAUGGGUGAGAUUUGAAACUGCA